AAGUAACGAAUACAGACUGUAAUAAGCAUAAACUGUUCCAAUAGAACCGAAAGACAACAUACUAAAUCCAUUUUGGUUAAAUAUUUAGUUUGACAUCCCUACUUCUCAUAAUGCCAACAUCUCUUUUCAUUGCAAGUUUUUUAAAAAUGUAUUUAACGUGUUAGCAGCAAUGACACUGACAUGGAAGUGUUAUAUAUUUCUCUGUAAAGCGACGCUGGGUGGACUCUAAUACCUGCGGACCAACACGGAGGAGAGGACUGCUUUAUAGUGUUGCAGUCAAGCAGGAGCACUUGCUAGGAAUGAAGAGUCAGGCUAAACAGUGAUUUGGGGAGUGAAAAAGGCUUUUUAAAAAUAGAUUUCAAAACCUUAGCUGCACCUUUUAAAUACUCCAUCAAGCGAGCAAUGCGAGGUUCAAAUGUAAUAAUUGAAAGAGUUUUCAUAUUAUUAUUAUUAUUUAUUUCUUAGCUGACGCCCUUAUCCAGGGCGACUUACAAUUGUUACAAGAUAUCACAUUAUUUUUACAUACAAUUACCCAUUUAUACAGUUGGGUUUUUUUACUGGAGCAAUCUAGGUAAAGUACCUUGCCCAAGGGUACAGCAGCAGUGUCCUAACUGGGGAUUGAACCCACGACCCUCCGGUCAAGAGUCCAGAGCCCUAACCACUACUCCACACUGCUGCCCCAUACUGAAGUAGUAGAGUUAUUUUAAGGAGAAACGGGUUCAAUUAAUAAACCAGAUGGGAGAAUCAGCAGCUUGUUCUGUGCUUGCUGAGCUCCUGGCUUCACAUUGUCAGCCUUCAGAGGAAUGUGGAAAUGUCUUUAGGUGGGACUGGGUAAUUAAAGCUACAUGGUGCCAUCUGCUGGUGAAACAAAAAUCUGGAUGGUUGAAUCUCCCAUUCAACUGCCAAUCAGAUUAUAUAUCCAAAUCAAUUAAUAUAAUUACUUGUAUCUUCCAGUUUUAUUUUUUUUUAUAACUCAAUUGUGUUUAGCAAGCAGACAGCAUGUGAAGUCACAUGGUACAGGGGCUCAAUCGCACACCACAACUGCUACAUGACACAUGACAUGAUAAAGUUCAGUAUUCUAGAAAAAUAAAUAUUCAGCCAAGUACAACUGCACAGCUUUCCAUUUCUGUGAAGAGCUGAGGUUGACCUGAGACCAUCCACUAAAAGACACGUCUACACAAAUAAACCACCAAUCCAUGGACAAGAACGUCUUCAAACCUCAGCUCAGUUACCCUGUUAUUCCCUAUAGAAUCAGUGUUAAAUCCAGGCUUCUGAGCCACGUUUCAGCUGCAGUGCAGUAGAAGAGUGAUAUGAUUUGUAGAAGCCCUGUUGGAAGGAAAGCUAGCCCUGGCUUGCAGUUUGCAGUGCCAGUAUAACUUGUAUUGUCUGACUGACAGAUAAAGGCACGGGUUCAAGAGACGACAGCAAUCGCUCCGGAGUUGGAAAGAGUGGCGGUGGAUCCAUCUCCGACAAGGAUCUGGAAGACAUUCUAGGUGAUGGUUACUCUCCGGAUAGGAAGAAAGGUGGCGGUGGCGGUGGUGGUGGUAAUGUACCAUCAGUUGAUCCAGGAUAUGGAGAUGGCACAGCUGAGACUGGCACCAUUGCAGGGAUUGCCAGUGCCAUCGGCAUGGCCCUUGUGGGCGUUGUAACCAGUUACAUCUCAUACCAGAAGAAGAAACUCUGCUUCAGCAUACAAGGUUCUUAUGGAGAUGCAAGACUGAGGGUUCAGAUGAGCCCAGCUCUGAUGAAGAUCUUUAGACGGCCCCCAGUUUAAUUCACUGAGAGUCUGAACAGCGCACAGUAUGUAAAAGGAGAACAAUUAGAAGCAGUUGUCGCUGAGGAACCCCAAGCUCAACAAACCCUCCUGCAGUCCCCGAUGACCGAUCCUACUUCACAGGAUGUGGCCCGGGUCUAACCCCCGCCUCCCCCACUGAAGUGUCCUACCAGGGCUGUAACAGUGCUUCCUUUGAAGACGAAGUGUUUGAGAAGCAGAAUCCUUCAGCCGGAGUUCGCUUUCUUCUUUGGUAGAGCUUGAUGUCCACUUUCUCUGUGUACCUUCAUUUCCAUUUCUUUAUCCAUUUUUUAAUGAACUGAGCCAGUUUACAUUUUACAAUUGCACAGAAAUUUCAUCUAAAGGGAUUACCUGGAGCUUAGAAGUAUGGAAAAUGCACAAUGAAUGUGUGUUUAUUUUAAACAUCAUGUUUUUUUUUUCCUGCUUGUUUAACUUUGAUUGUGAAUAGCUUCACUGAGUCCGUCUGUUACACUUGUAAAGAUCUCUGCAGGUGAAGCGCUGAGCUGGGUGUUGGUUUGACUCCCAGCUUGAGCCUCGUGUUUAGACUCUGACCACGUAAGAGUUCUUCUGUUCUGUUGUAAACCUGGGUGAAAGCAGAACCUACUUGGACUGGGCUACCAGGGUACUUCACAAUGACCAACUAAAGAUCGUACGUAAUAAAGGAAGACAGGACAUCUGAAUGUGCGUGAAAGAUUUUAAACCUUUUUUUUUCUUUUAUUCAUUUUUUUUUUCUUUUACUGAGUGAACAUGGCUGCUUGCUGUAAAUAUGAUAUUUCAGUUUUCUUUUUCUUUUCAUGUCUCUGCCUCCCCUCCCUAGUGAGAACGGCAGAAUCCACAGGUUUUUUGAUGGGGCACUGUCUGGUCAUUUUAAAUGGAAAUAUUUUAUUUGUAAACUAGGUGGUGUUAUGUUAAUGUUAAUUGUAAGAUUUAGUCCGUUAGAGCUGAAUAACAUCAGUCAAUGUACAGCAUUGUCUUUGCCUGCACGCUGCAGCCUGUCCUAUGGGAUCUGCCAGUGAAGCUGGUUUAGUCUUUGCGUAUUACUUGUCAGAAACCCAGUGUGUUAGUUUCAUGUUUGCCUAGAAUAGUAUGCUGCUGUCGCUGAGGCUUUGUUUGUAAUGCAUUCCUUUGCGAUUUCUCUGCCAGCGACUGAACACACUUUGAAUGGCAUCCACUUGACUUGGGGUUUGCUGCCCAUGAAAACCACUGUGUUCCUGGCUUACCUUUGAUUUAUUUACAGCAGGAUGCAUUUAGGAAGCUGAAAGAAUUGUUACACUGCUAUUCAAGUUCUUCGUGCAACCUGCAGCUGUGUGUUCCAUGCAGCUUUUAAAUUGUUUAGAUUCUGUUUAAAAAGCUUUUUUGUUGAAUUUAACGACUUUAUAUAGGUUACCAGUAUUUAAAAAAAAAAAAAAAAAAAAACAACUUGCAGAUCCCUUUUUUGUUUUGAAUCUUGAGCUUAACAGAAAAUGUAUAUAACAUUUAUAACCACCUACUGCUGCAGAAGUUUUUGGUUUCCAGAAUUAAGGGAUUUUAAAGAAAUUCCCCCUGCAACUAAACAAACUGGAAUGUAAACUAUCUUCUGUUGAAAAUGUGUACACGGAAGGCUAAACAGAAACCCUGAAUCCACUGUAGCUGUCUUUCAAAGUGCUACAUGGUCAAGCCCUUUAGAGUUUUCUUCUAGGGUGAAGCCCUGAUAAUGAAAAUGGUAUCGUUGUUUGCUUUAUUAAAGACAGCAAAGGUAGGACAGCUUGUGUCUGGUCCACCAAGGCUUUUAAUCAGCAGCUGUGUUUUGUUUUGGGGUCUUGUCCUGUGUGUUUCCUUCCUGGCUUGUUUUAGCCCAAGCACAGUGCUCCAGCAAUACAACUACCCCCUAUUGUAAUGUGCAAUACAAAUUAAUCACAG